rnacentral:rRNA from 1 species
GACGAACGCUGGCGGCGUGCUUAACACAUGCAAGUCGAGCGGUAAGGCCCUUUCGGGGGUACACGAGCGGCGAACGGGUGAGUAACACGUGGGUGACCUGCCCUCAGCUCUGGGAUAAGCCUGGGAAACUGGGUCUAAUACUGGAUAUGACUCCACGGUGCAUGUCGUGGGGUGGAAAGUCUUGUGCGGCUGAGGAUGGGCCCGCGGCCUAUCAGCUUGUUGGUGGGGUGANGGCCUACCAAGGCGACGACGGGUAGCCGGCCUGAGAGGGCGACCGGCCACACUGGGACUGAGACACGGCCCAGACUCCUACGGGAGGCAGCAGUGGGGAAUAUUGGACAAUGGGCGCAAGCCUGAUCCAGCGAUGCCGCGUGUGUGAAGAAGGCCUGCGGGUUGUAAAGCACUUUCAGUAGGGAAGAAAAGCCGAGU